CCAUCACUGUCAUAAAGAAUGAAAGGAUUACAAUCCUGUUGAACUUUCUAAAACAAAUAUAUUUAUUUUUCAUCUGGAAGAAAGCCAGAAUGAUUACAGUUCCAAGGAAACAAUAAUGGAUAGUUGACACUGAAAUAUCUCGAGGCAGAAGGGGGAAUGAGGGAAAAAAAAAAAGCAGGAAACCGAAUAAGGAAAUAUAAAGACCGUAAAUUAGGGACCAAGUGAAAGGAAAACAGUAGCAAUAGUAAUAACAUUUAGACUUAUAUAGAGCUUUACAUGAGCCUUUGCAGGAAGCAAUUUGUUCAUUCUGGUUGGUUCAAACUCUGAGAAGCUCAGUUUGACUUUGUGCUCCAUUUGGCCUUGCAAAACUAAUUGGCAAUUAGGUCUCUGGCAGCGUUUCAAGGGAGAUAAAGGUGGGUGCUUAUCAGCAUUACCUUGAAAGACUGUGGCAGACUUCUGUCGGACUCUUCACAGAAUGUUUGUGAAUUGUUACGGGCUGUGAAUGACCAUAAUUCACAGUCGUUUAAAGAAAAGAGGGGCUUUUGGGAGUAAGAGUGCGAUUUAAGCUUUCUCAGGGAGCCUAGAUCAGAACACACUUCAUAAUUGACAGCCAAUGAAAACAUCAUGGGUCUUUCUGCUGAAACACACAAACAAAAAAAACCACAACAGAGAGAAGGCAGUAAGAGAAGAUUACGGGAGACAAAUUGUGGUGGAUGUCCUUCUUCCAAGCCAUGAGAACAUCUGCCAUCUUUCCUGAUAGGCUGCUUCUUGAAUUUAAUCAUCAUAAAUCCUUUUGCCUUCUCAAUGUAGGCUGUCCUACCAGUAUGGGGUGCUGUAUUCAUGUAAUUGACAGUCAAUGAAACAAUCACGGAAUUCUUUUCUGAAACACACACACACAGACAUACACACACACAAACCACAACAGAGAGGAGGCAGGCAGAAGGAGUGAAGAGAGAGAGGCCUCGUUGUUUAGAAAGGAUACCGGCUGUCUGAUUAAUUCAGAUCAACUGAGAUUCUGCAGUCCCUCACCAUGAAUUUGGCAUCCUUCUCGCUAAUAUUAUUGGUUCUCACGUCAAGAACCCUUCUCUGCCAUGCUGAAAACCCUGUCCAGGAACCUCUGCUAGAAGCAUUAAAUGGAAUAAAAACGGAUAUUUCUUGCUCCCACCCAAAUAUUAAAUUGAAUGAAUACAUCUUUUGGUACCGACAGUUUCCUAGCCAGCCUCCGCAUUUCAUUGCAAGUGGAUACAAGCAAAUGUCAAAAAACAAUGUAGAAGAGCGAGUUGAUUUGGUUGUUGCUGAUAACCGAACAAAUAGCAUCCUCUCCUUCACCAAUGUCAUCUUUGAAGACCAGGCAUUGUAUCUCUGUGCUCUAGGAGACACGGUGUCACAUCCUCAUGACUCUCUUUGGCAAGAACCCUUUCUUUGCAAUACAGGUGACACCAGAGACAGGAAAGGAAGGCAGGUGUGAAAACACACCUAUCAGUCUGAAUGUUCCUGGGAGCAUUUUUUCCAGGGUGAUUGA